GGUGUGGAUUGGGAUUGGGAUUGGGGUUGGGGUUGGGAUUGGGAUAGGGAUUGGGAAUGGGAUGCGGGAAGUGGGUGUACGGGUACGGGACAGACUUGGCAAAGGUAUGGGAAUGAUAUGGGGUAGAGUUGGGACAGGAUAUGGAUAUGGGAUGGGAUUGGGAUGAUCAUAGGAUGGGAUAAGUAUACGGAAUGGAUAUGGGAUGGACACGGGAUGGAUGCGGGGAUAUGGAUUCGGGGAGGCUGUGGGAUGGAAAUGGAUAUGGGACAUGGAGGACAGGAUGGGGAUAGGAUAUGGGAUGUGGGGGUAUGGAUGUGGGAUCGCUUUAGGAUGGGGUAUGGGAUUGGAUAAGGGAUGGGACAUUGAUACGGGAUGGAUAAGGAGAUGGGAUCGGUUUGGGAUGAGAUAUGGAUUUGAGAUGGAUUUGGGAUGGUUAUGGGAUGGAUAAGGUGAUGUGGAUAUAGAAAGAGAUUUGGCAUGGAGUUGGGAUGGGAUACGGAUACGGGAUGAGAUAUGGGAUGGGAUACGGGGAUACGGACAUGGGAUAGGGGAUGGAUACGGGAUGGAUUUGGGAUAUGGAUACGGGAUGGAUUUGGGAUACAGAUAUGGGAUGGAUUUGGGAUAUGGGUGUGGGAUGGAUAUGAUGGUUUGGGUAUUGGAAGGGUUAUGGAUACAGGAUGGGAUAUGGGAUGGGAUAUGGAUAUGGGAUGGGUAAGAGAUGGGGCUGUAGUGGUUAUAGGGCCAUGGGGGCUAUGGGGCUGGGAUGCUGCAGUGUCCCCAAAGCACCCCCUGGUGUGACACACGGAGCCCCACAGCCGCUCCUCUGCCCUUUAUUCACG
ensembl:lncRNA